AUACGUAGGGUGCAAGCGUUAAUCGGAAUUACUGGGCGUAAAGCGUGCGCAGGCGGUUUUGUAAGACAGAGGUGAAAUACCCGGGCUCAAACUGGGAACUGCCUUUGGGACUGCAAGGCUAGAGUACGGCAGAGGGGGAUGGAAUUCAGCGUGUAGCCGUGAAAUGCGUAGAUAUGCGGAGGAACACCGAUGGCGAAGGCAAUCCCCUGGGCCUGUACUGACGCUCAUGCACGAAAGCGUGGGGAGCAAACAGGAUUAGAUACCCUGGUAGUCCACGCCCUAAACGAUGUCAACUGGUUGUUGGGUCUUCAUUGACUCAGUAACGAAGCUAACGCGUGAAGUCGACCGCCUGGGGAGUACGGCCGCAAGGUUAAAACUCAAAUGAAUUGACGGGG
rnacentral:rRNA from 1 species